AGAAUUGGAGAAGACACACAAUAUUUUGUUCUUAUUUUUUAAAAAUAAAAUUCCAAAUAAAAAAGUUAACAAAGUUAAACAUUUGUUAAGUUAGUUGACAUGUGGGGGGGACAUAGGGGGACACCUAAUUUUGGGAUGGCGGAUCCGCUCCCUCUAUUAUGAAACCUAAGAUAUUAGGGCUGAGAUUUUCACUCGACAAACCAAAUAACCAACCGACCCGACUUGAUUUUUUGAACUGAAAAUUCGUCUACCUCGAUAUGGGUUGGUAUUUGACCAGUUUUUGGGACCAACCCGACUACAACGGUUGUUGAGAACUGAACUGACAUUAAAAACAACCUUAAUAUUUGAGAUGUUGGAGCGAGCGAUUUUUGAACUCAUGACCACCAACUUCAAGUAUUACCUCCAAACCAUUGCGUUGCUAAGUCUUGUGAAAUAUUUGCAUAACCAAUGAAUUUAAUCCUUCCCAUUUACGAGAAAUUAGGAAAAAAAAAAAAAAAGCAGGUAACCCUAACUCAUUUAUCCCAGCCACCACUUUUCUCCCUUUUUUUUUUCCCUUUCUCUUGUCUUCCCCCUUUUCUUUUUUUGAAAACCUUAGCCGCCCACAACCAUUUCAUCUCCUCUUCUCUUCCUCAACCAGAUGAUUGGCUUCCUUUGUCAAACAACAUGAUGGCACAGCAGCUACAAAAUGGAAAAAGACGAUUAGAAUCACAAGUCAAAACCAAAAGAGUGAACCGCAAGAAGAAGAAACCCUAGUUUGUGGCAAAACAGAAAAUAUAUAUAUGAAGCCUACUCAGCCCGGCCUAGCUGUAGCACAGCCAUAACACAGCGGCCAAGCCGCAAUGUCGACUCAG
rnacentral:lncRNA from 1 species